rnacentral:sRNA from 1 species
UUGGCACUGAAGGUUAGAUAGAAGCGUGGACUCUCUCAUCCACACAGGAGGGAAUGAAAGACGAAGGAAAUCGGCCUCAGGGUUGAUAGCUCGCCACUGGCCUUUUCUUUUUCUUCCCCCCUCUUCCUACAAGCGAUUUAUUUGUAUGCUAUUGUCAAUGCCACUACAUCCCGUAGCGCCUGGUUGUCGAGGCUGAGUCUAGUCAAGCUUUGUCAUACCCAUUUUGUUCGGUGAUCAGAUCCUCCCGGAGACGGCAUUUCGGUGGACACUUGGACGGAGCAGUGAGAUAAAAACAGAUGGGAAAACCUUGCCCUGACAGUAUGAGAACUUGAUAACGGGAGACAGAAUAAACAAAGUUCUGGCUUUUGUUCGGGUCGUAUGCUUAAGAGUUUGCAGCAGACCAGGAACAGGUAUGUUUGUAAAUAUAUACGAUUUUGCUCGUAUUUCCUUUUUCCCCACAAGAAAAUGGGUGAAUAGAUAAAUAGAUAAAAUAAAUGGACGGUAAAAUAUUUCAGAUAACUAGUUAUUUAGUUUAAAAAAAAGGGACAAGGGAAGGCUUGGAGCCGCGGUGAC